UUUUUUUUGAAAAGAGUCUCUCUCUCUCUUUUUGUUUUCUCCGCAAUUUCAUUCCCCCAUCUCUCCCCCAUCUCUCCUGUGAUUUUAUCAUUCGAAACCAUGGUUUCCUAAAAUCUUUCCAUAUCUCAAUCUGUUACUGAGUCAGACGAAGAAACACCUGAAUAAAUCUCUUUCUAUCUCAAUCGCCUCGACUCUCUGGUGGAACCCUUAUCGCAUGUUUAUGUUCACUCGCCUCGACUCCGACGGAACCCUUAUCGUCUGAUUAUGUUCACUCCUCGACGGAACCCUUAUUGUUUCAAUAUCUCUUUUUCGUUUAUAAGUAUUUUCCCUGUUUUUUAAAAAUCAUUUUCAACAUUAGGACUCAUACACGUUUCAUACUUUGUUCAAGCUCAGGUCUUGAUUCGGUUUAAAAGACGAGAUAACGUUGUUACAAAAGACUAUCGCUCUUCCGGGAUACGUCCAGUCCGUCCAGAUGGUAAUGACCAGAGCCUUUCCUGCUCUUACUAGAGUUGUGCGGCAAGAAUCGGCAUCAGAGUAGUUGGCUGGUGUUGAGGAUGCUGAUUUUUCACACCCCCUAAGGGACGCAAGGACAUUGGAUGCCACUAAAAAUGACAUAGUCUUCGAGAUCCACCAAGUCGUGGACAGACAAAAACCCGGACAGGUUGUUUCAUGGUUGCUCUCGAUACUAGGAAGAUGGAUGCGACUUCUUUGAAUGGUACGAUGAAGACGAAGUUACGGGUGGCCAAAGAGGUGCCUUAUUGAAGCACUUAACGAAAUUAGACAGAAAAGACUAGAAAUCAAGAGGCUAACGAAUAAUGUAGACAUGUUACGGGCAGAGAUUAAGAAGCAACGUCUUUCCGAAGCUCAACCGAAGAAGGAGGACGUCGACUCGGCCAACCACCCCAGGAGGUAUCCCUUGUCGCACCAGAUUUCAAUUGGAAGGAUAUCAUGUUUGGCUGCUUUCGGUCGAAUUAGCAUAAUCUCCUUCAUUAUGCAUGUGUUGUUCGUAGUCAUGUUAGUCAUGUUUAGCUGGGACAAAUCAGCAAAAUGUACUAGAUAUACAUCCCCUUGUCUGUCAUCUCGGUUUGUUGUCGCGGCCAAAUUACCGGCUAAUAUACUUACUAUCUCGUACGUUUAUUUUCUUAGCUGGAUAAAUAUAAUGGAAAAUCAAAAUAGUUUUCUAA